AUGAGGGUUUUGAUUUCGUUACCAGGCUAAAAUCAGUAGGCAAAACUCUGCCCGUCUAAAUUUGCAAUGUGACUUACUGUGAAUCAAGGAAAAGUGCUAGAUGGCACUAAAAAGCUUGAAGAGGUGGCUCAAUAAAAUAAAUAAACAUGUUUUGUAAAACAAGGGAUUUCCUCGUGAAAUUUCCUUGAUUGUAAAUUAUGGGGUUUGUCCCAAAUUGUGAAAUAA
rnacentral:lncRNA from 1 species